UUCAUACUCCCUCCGUCCGAAAAUAGUUGUCAUCAAAAUGGACAAAAAGGGAUAUAUCUAGAACUAAAAUACAUCUAGAUACAUCCCCUUUUAUUCAUUUUGAUGACAAGUAUUUCCGGACAGAGGGAGUACCAC
rnacentral:pre_miRNA from 1 species